rnacentral:rRNA from 1 species
GGGAAUCUGCCUAAAGGUUCGGAAUAACAGUUAGAAAUGACUGCUAAUACCGGAUGAUGUCUUCGGACCAAAGAUUUAUCGCCUUUAGAUGAGCCCGCGUAGGAUUAGCUUGUUGGUGGGGUAAAGGCCUACCAAGGCGACGAUCCUUAGCUGGUCUGAGAGGAUGAUCAGCCACACUGGGACUGAGACACGGCCCAGACUCCUACGGGAGGCAGCAGUGGGGAAUAUUGGACAAUGGGCGAAAGCCUGAUCCAGCGAUGCCGCGUGAGUGAUGAAGGCCUUAGGGUUGUAAAGCUCUUUUACCCGGGAUGAUAAUGACAGUACCGGGAGAAUAAGCCCCGGCUAACUCCGUGCCAGCAGCCGCGGUAAUACGGAGGGGGCUAGCGUUGUUCGGAAUUACUGGGCGUAAAGCGCGCGUAGGCGGCUUUGUAAGUUAGAGGUGAAAGCCCGGAGCUCAACUUCGGAAUUGCCUUUAAGACUGCAUCGCUUGAAUCAUGGAGAGGUCAGUGGAAUUCCGAGU